AUUGAACGCUGGCGGCAGGCCUAACACAUGCAAGUCGAACGGAGUGGCGAACGGGUGAGUAACACGUGGGUGACCUGCUCUGCACUUCGGGAUAAGCCUGGGGAACUGGGUCUAAUACCGGAUAGUGUGGGAUGGGCCCGCGGCCUAUCAGCUUGUUGGUGGGGUAAUGGCCUACCAAGGCGGCGACGGGUAGCCGGCCUGGGAGGGUGGACGGCCACAUGGGUCCUGCGGCACGGAGCAGACUCCUACGGGAGGCAGUGGUGGAGAGUAUUGCACAAUGGGCGGGAGCCUGAUGCAGCGACGCCGCGUGGGGAAUGACGGCCUUCGGGUUGUAAACUCCUUUCACCAUCGACGCGGUAGAUGGAGAAGAAGCACCGGCUAACUACGUGCCAGCAGCCGCGGUAAUUC
rnacentral:rRNA from 1 species